rnacentral:rRNA from 1 species
ACGGACCCGCACAAGCGGUGGAUCAUGUUGUUUAAUUCGAUGAUACGCGAAGAACCUUUACCAGGUCUUGACAUCCCCUGCAAAGCUAUAGAGAUAUAGUGGAGGUUAUCAGGGAGACAGGUUGGUGCAUGGUUGUCGUCAGCUCGUGUCGUGAGAUGUUGGGUUAAGUCCCGCAACGAGCGCAACCCCUACGUUUAGUUGCUGACGCGUGAAGGCGAGCACUCUAGACGAACUGCCGUUGACAAAACGGAGGAAGGUGGGAUGACGUCAAAUCAUCAUGCCCCUUAUGUUCUGGGCUACACACGUGCUACAAUGGCCGGUACAGACGGACGCAAAGCCGCGAGGUGGAGCAAAUCCUAAAAAGCCGGUCUCAGUUCGGAUUGCAGGCUGCAAUUCGCCUGCAUGAAGUCGGAAUCGCUAGUAAUCGCAGGUCAGCAUACUGCGGUGAAUACGUUCCCGGGCCUU